AAAGGAUUCAAGAUCCAAGGUAUAAUGCAUGGAAGGCAUCCCACAAGUGCAAGAUCAACCAUGAAGGAAGUGCUGGUAGCAUGGAAACAGCUGGGGCUGUUAGAAUUUUUGAACGGUCGCUUGAUACGCGAGGGCUGAAGUUUACCAAAAUGCUUGGAGAUGGUGAUUCCUCUACCUACAGCGCCAUUGUUGAAAGGGAGCCAUAUGGGGAGGAUUGCAUUCCAGAGAAAUUGGAGUGCAUUGGCCACGUUCAGAAGAGAGUUGGAAGUCGUUUACGGAAAUUGAAGACUUCUAGCAAGGGAUUGAAAUUGGCUGAUGGCAAAGGCUUGGCUGGUAAAGGCAGACUGACAGAUGCUAAAAUAGACAUAUUGCAAAACUAUUAUGGUCUGGCAGUCAGAGAAAACCUGGAUAGUGUUGAGAAUAUGGCCAAGUACAUUGAAGCAUCUCUUUACCAUGUUGCGUCAACUGCCGAGAAUCCACAGCAUCAUCUUUGCCCAGAAGGAGAGGACAGUUGGUGUGGGUAUAACAAAGACAAGGAGGGAUACAAGCACAAGAAUGGAAUUCCAAGCUGCAUUGUUGAGCUGAUUAAGCCUAUAUACAAGGACCUUAGUAAUCCUGUCUUGUUGAGUAAAUGUACCCAUGGCUUGACGCAGAAUGUCAACGAGUGUCUAAACGGGAUGAUCUGGGAUAGAUGUCCAAAGACUGUUUAUGUUGAGCAAGAAACUGUGGCUCUUGCCACUUACCUGGCCAUCUUAAAAUUUAAUGAUGGUGACAUUUCUUUGUUGAAGUUGUUUUCUGACCUGGAUAUAACUCCUGGUAUAUUCUCCGGUAAAGGCGCUGAAGAUUCCGACGGUUCAAGAAUUAAACUGUCGGCAAAGAAGAGCACAGAGAAAGUGAAGAACAGAAGGAAAUUGUUGAGACACCAAAGGAAACACUAUGUUGACAGUCUUGAAGACAAAGAAGGUGUUUCCUAUGAGGCAGGUGCAUUCUAGGCAACAAAAUAAUGAACAACAACUUUAAAACACUAUUUUCUGAAUUUAACAGUUUUGUCGGUACAUUAAGUUUUUGAGAUAGCAUAAUUUUUUGAAUAUUUAUUGUGAGAGGUUGAAAUUUGGUAUAUUUAUAGCCAUUAACAUAAUCUAGUGCCUGACCAUUUUUUAUUUUCAAUAUACUUCAUUAAAGAUGCAUAAAUGGAGUUUAAUUACCUAAUUAGGCAUAA